ACCAGGUACAGACAACCAGCGACCAAUCCUGUUUGUACCAGAGCCACUUGAUGCCAGCCCUCCCUCCUGGACCACCCCUUCCUCUGUAAAUGUCUGCCUCCACCUCUCCUCGCCCUCUCCGCCCUGACUGACCUGGAUGUCUCUUCAAAGGACAAGGCCCACUUCUCUGCGUGGGCUCUGUGGGACGACACACUGGCUUCUCUGAGAUAUCGUCUCUUAGAUGGUAGCUAACACAAUGACAGUGGACACACGAAGUUAUGAAGCUAUCUGCCCUCCUGGGUCUUUCCCUCGUGCACACAAGAUGAACAUCACCAUGCUGAAAGUGGAGGAAUAGAGACUGCCACUUUCCCAGGUUCCAAAGAAUGGAGGGCUCU
rnacentral:lncRNA from 1 species